UCUCUUCUCUCUCCUCUAUGAGAGUGAAGCGAGCGUCUCUCCGGAGCGGGGGCGCAACCUUUAAUUGGGGUUUAAGGCGGAGAGAACCCCGGCGGGACUAUUCAGAAAGGAGGUUCGCUUUUCACCGUCGUUUUACUCCUCUCAAGGUUACCGACGAACCCCCCGAUGAACUUGGGCCCCGCCCAAGCCCCCCGGCCCCCCCCCCAACACAGCGAGCUGAGUGAAAUGACGCUCAACAGCAUGCCCGCCGAAUACCGCGGCGCAAUGUGCUUCAAAGAUUGAUGAUUCACGAAUUCUGCAAUUCACAUUACUUAUCGCAUUUCGCUGCGUUCUUCAUCGAUGCCAGAACCAAGAGAUCCGUUGUUGAAAGUUUUGAUUAUUUGUCUUUCAGGCUCAGAGAUACUGAAAAAAUAAGAGUUUUGAACCUCCGGCGGGCGUGCCCGCCGAAGCAACGACAGAGGUUAUGUUCACAGGGUUGGAGUUUUUCAACUCAGUAAUGAUCCUCUCAACAGGGGGGGGGAUCCUUUUUGAGUUCGGGUAUUCCAACCUGCGCCAAGAUCACCUCUGUCGUUGUUUCGGCGGGGCACGCCCGCCGGAGGUUCAAAACUCUUAUUUUUUCCAGUAUCUCUGAGCCUGAAAGACAAAUAAUCAAAACUUUCAACAACGGAUCUCUUGGUUCUGGCAUCGAUGAAGAACGCAGCGAAAUGCGAUAAGUAAUGGGAAUUGCGGAAUUCAGUGAAUCAUCGAAUCUUUGAACGCACAUUGCGCCCGCCGGUAUUCCGGCGGGCAUGCCUGUUCGAGCGUCAUUUCAACCCUCAAGCCUCGGCUUGGGUGGUUGGGGCGCCCGGGCCCUCCGCGGCCCGGGGCCCCCAAGUUCAUUCGGCGGGCUCGUCGGUACACUGAGCGCAGUAAAACGCGGUAAAACGCGAACCUCGAUCGGAUCGUCCCGGCGGGCUCCGGCCGCUAAACCCCCAACAGGGGGAGGGUGGACCGGGGAUGGAGAGGAAUACCCGCUGACGUUCGCUCCGCCGGGAAAAAAAAGAAGGUUAUUGAGAUGCUCUCCCCCCCGGGUGA
rnacentral:misc_RNA from 1 species